GGAACUGAUCAUAAUAACAAUUACAGUAAUAGCAGUAGCCAAUUUUAAAAUGUUCUUGUUAUAUCUUAGAUAUUUCAAUAAACCCUCUAUAUAUGCUUAUAUCAUUUAAUAAUCAUAGGAAUCCUAUACUAUAGAUGGUUUCAUAUGACUACCAGAAACAGAAUUCAAAAAUGACAUCUAAUUUUCCUGUGGUUAAGAUUCUGCUAAAUAGUGAAGCUGAAAUUGACAUCCAGUCUUUCUGACUUUGUUUCCCUGGUGAGUAAGGACAUUCAUAUUACACUGACCUGGAAGGUCUCCUAGAUAUAUUGAAUUAAGCUAAGCUUUGUCUUGUUGAUUCCAGAGCUGCAGACUAGACUAGCUUAUAUUACCAGGUACCAGACAGGGUCCUGACUUCCUACUGGAUGAGAAAUGAUAGAAUCAUAUUAGGCAAUCAAACUGUAAGCAUUUCCACUCAAAGGGAAAUUUGUUGAAGACAUAGGGGACUGGAGAUCCAUCACAUUGGAAUUCAGCAGCAAGGGCAAGAGAUCUAGGCUAUGGUAAUAAGUUGCAGACCAAGGGGAUAUCUGUAAAGUGGUGAUUUAAUUAAAGAUAGCAAGCAAAGAUUCACUCCCCUCCCCAGUCCACCCUGCUGCUACUGACACAGGCAAGUGGCCAGGCUUUGGUGGAUGGGUGACAACCAAUGUCAAUCACAGAGGCUUCAGAGGAGAUUUUCAGGGACUUUCUGUCUGAACUCCCUUCUGCUUAAAAUCUCAUACUUGACUCCUACAUUUAUUAUGCCACAAGAUGUCAGACAGGAACUAUAAGGCAUGACGAGGGCCAGAUAUCAGAGAAUGUGGAAGCAGAGUUUCCUGAGAGCACAGUCCCCUGCUGAGGGUGGCACCUCCUCUUCACUGAAAGUUAUGGCUACAGAUGGCUCUUUUCAUCCAGCAAGAAAAUCGGACUUCAAGAUACCUCUGCGAACUCUGAACUAGUAAGAAAAGGAAUGAUUUCAUAUCGCUUCUAGUCAAAACAUUCCAAACUUGUUGUUCAAAUAAAGCCCUGGUAUUUCUGGUUGGAAAGCUGAAUGGUAUGCUAAUGCCACUUCUUCCAGGAAGCCUUCUACAAUAGCUUUCUGGGGUUGUUUUAAUAAACUAUCCCAGCUGGGUGACCUGAAAAGGGCAGCAAUGCACUUUGUCACCAUUCAAGAGGUAAGGAGUCCCAACUGAAAUCAUCAGGAAAGAUAAGCUACUCACUGACUUGUCCUCUCCGUGGAUUAUGGUGGUUUCCUGGCAGGUUUUGCACCCUUGGUUUGCAGAUAGAGUACUUUAACCUCUACGUUCAUUAUAGACUUCUCCCCUUUUGUCUGUGAUUUUGCCUCUUGUCAUUUUAUAAGGAUCUGAUCUAUAUCAGAUGAGACCUGUAUUAGUUACUUUUCCUGGUGACUAAGUACGUGACAGUAAGUAAAUUAAACAAGAAAGGGUUUAUUUGGGGUUAUAAUUUAAGAAGAGAUGUUGUCUAUUAUAUUGGGGAGUGUAGAGCAGCAGGAAUGUAAGGUAUCCACAUUCAGAAGUACAGAGUCAGCAGUGGCUUAAGCUAUUCAAUCUCAAAACCUGAUCCUAGUGCCCUGUGUCUUCCAGAGUGAACUACAUCCUAAAGUUCCACACCUUCCCAAAGAGUCCAACCUACUGGGAAACAAGUUUUCAAACACAUAAGCCUAUGGAAGACACUUCAAAUUCAAAUCACAAGAAAGACCCAGCUUAAUAGCCUCAUCUUAACUUGAUUACAUCUGCAUAAUGUCUGUUUCCAAAUUUGGUUAUAUUCAUAGACAUCAACAUAACUUUUUGAGGAGGAGGGACAAAAGAAAUGUACUGGCCAUAUCUGAACUGCUUCAAGUGUGAAGCCCAAAUUUGACAGCACAACUGGAGUAGCAAGGUGCUUGGUUAAUGUGCUUGUUAUAAUAGUCUAUGAAGGUUUACAUGGGGUAUCAUAUUCUAAGGCUAUACAACUGAAGUUGUUUUUCCUUGUGCUCAGUGCUAACUAGAAACAUAGGUAAGUACAUUCACUCACAUUGGGGGAUUUACUGCUAAAAGGGGUACAACUCUAUGAUUACCAAGCGCACAAGGCUUUAGAAUCACAGCCCCACUGGUAAACAGCUCAGAGCCUGAAUGUGUUAUCUUUCUGAAGAAGUAUCUAGUGCGUGUUCUGUAUCAAGCAAAUAAAAUUUCUAUGUCUCUUCCUUCA